AAUAUAUUGUAUGAAGAUAAAUUUUGAAUAUCUUAUCAUUCCAAUAUAGACUUUUCAAACCAUAUCUUUAUUCUCACAUUCCAAAUAUUCAUUGUCAAACUAAUUUCUUUUUAAACUGUAUAUUCUUCAUUAUGUAAAUGAAAUGCCUUAAAAGAUUGCCGAAGUUAACAAUUUAAAAGCAUUAGACUUACAUACUAUUUUACAUUUAUUUUUUUUCUAUCAAUUCAUUUUGAAAUUUGUCUUCAUAAAUUUAAAAACGUUUCAUAUCAAUAUCGCCAAAUAUUUGUUUGCAUUUGAUAUUUGCAUUUUAGCAUCUAAAUUGUGUAAUAUUAAUAAAAUUUAUCAUUAAUGUAAAAAAUUAAACUUUUAAUGGAAUUUAUCAUAUAUUUUAUUGCAAAAACUAGGGAGAAAAUAAAAUAAUAUUUAUUCCUUUGUAGGAAACUGUUGGUAACAUUAGGAAAACAAAUAUUUGAAGAUGGCAACUAUUAUGAAAUUUUGUCAAUUGUGUAAGAGUUAUCACAUUAUGUAAAAUCCAUAAUAGAAAUAGCAUGAAUACUGUGAUUAUUUAAAACUUUCUUGUAUACAAAUAUUCUCACAGAAAUCAGUGGAUGUAUGUAUGACAAAUAAAACUGUUGUGCAUAUCAUGUGGGCGUAAUUUUCCUUAAUUUCAAAGUGAAGUUUGUUAUUAGAUGAAGUAAUAAAGACUGAUAAUGAAGAGCCAGUAUGAAUUCAAGACAUUUUUAGAGGUUGAAAGAGAAUGAAAAUACAAAUGUUCUGGAUUUGAAUAAAUUUAAGAUCUAUAAGGAAGAUUCUUUAUUUUAUUUUCAUUUUAUCUUUAUUUCAAUUUUUUUCCUAUUUAUAACUGCUUAUUUAUCUUCUUUUAGCAGAGAAAUAUAACUCACUAAUUAGAGUUUAUAUACUUCUGAGAUGAACCUCUAUUCAAUUACAAUAUUAAUAUUGAAAUUAUAAAUGGCUACAGUGAUGUAUGGUAAUCAGAAAUUAAGUGUUAUCAAUCAUCAAUUAAAAAAAAAAAUGCACAAUUAAUUUAAUCAGGAAUAUAAAUAAUAGCUAUCAUUGUUGGAGUGGAGUACUGAAAACUUAUUUCAAGGAAGUAAGAACUGGCUUCAGUUUUGAUUGUAGUUUUAAUGUUUUGUGGCUGUUUUUAUAACAAGAUGUCUUAUGACAAUUUCCAGAUUACUAGGUUACCACUUAACUCUUCAUGUCAUAUGUUCAAGUUGACCCUUUGAAAUUCUCUCCCCAGACCAUUCACUUUAAGUGAAAAUUACUGGUAUGAGGGCUAAGUAAAAAUAGAAAUAGGUUGAUUUGAACCUGUACCACAAGCUUGACUUGCAGGCAACAUAACAUCGUCAUAUAAUGCUUAUACACAAAAUGGUUAUUCUUACCUUAAAUCUAAAACAAAUGGAAAACUCUGAUUAAAUUUCACUUAUUUUAGUUGUUAUGAGUUUACUAACUUGUUGAAUAGUCACUAAGUAUCAAUACAAGAAAUAUUUAGUUUUAAGUAAAGUCAAGCUUAGUUAUAACUUAAUUGUUUCUUGAGAACUAGAAUUUCUGAGUGCAUGAGUUUUUGCAAUGCUCUAACACUCUGUUCUACCUCAAAUUGCCAAUGACUAUACUGCCCCCCCAGACCAACUUGUGUCUACUACAAUACUUCAACACAUCUUUCCUUCUCUCCUUCCUUCUACACUCACCAACCUUAUUGUCUUCACACCAUGUAUCUGUACCAUCCCAUUUCCUCUCAAGCUCUAUAAAGCCAACAAUGCUGGUCACCUCAUUGUUUCUGCUUGCAACUGCCCUACAAAACCUACUUCUACAUACAUGAACCAACUCUUUUUACUAUUGAUACUAUCCUUUUCCUUCUCUUCUGGUCCUCCUGGCCAAUUCCAAUCACUUUUUGCUGUUGAUACUAUCUCCUCACCAUAAUUCCCUUCUUGUAUUAAUGGACACAUAGUCCUCACAUUCUUUCUGGACUAUUGCACUAAACUCAAACUUGGCAUCCUUUACUCUGCCUCACUGAACUAAUCUUUCUUUUUCAUCAACUUCUUUUUGUGGGUGUUUUAAUAUCAUAUUAUUGAGAUGAUCAUGGGCACUAAUUAUGCCAACCUUUUGGUUAAUCUGAGGCCUAGAUCUUAAUUUGUUUCAUUGAUUCUAUCCCAGAAUUCUCUUCCGUCAUCUAUAACAUCUUACUCCCAUCAACUCUGAUAUCUCCAUGUCAUUUGACAACCCCAACCUCUCUACCUAUGCCUUUUACAAACUUACUGUCCGUACCUCAAUUUCCUUGCAUCCUACCUCACUCACAUUAAAUCAGUUAUCACCUGCUCACAAUUCUGUCACUUCUGUCUGUUUAGACUCUUUCAAGGCUUAGGCCCUUUCAAGGCUUAGAUCAAAUGAUCUACUUUUCAACUUACAUUGUUACCUCAACCAGCUAUCAAUGUACUUCAACUAUUGACUAUACUUCUAUCAUUUUUACCUGUACCCACCCCAUCAACAAUAUUUCCUUCACCUCUCAUCCUUCCAUCUGACCUUCCUGGUACACCAUUCCACAACCCAAUCUCUCCAGCACACUGUCCUCUUCAAUGUCUGUCUUCUCUAAUCUGGCCCUGUUCCUGCUUCAAGAUCUUUCUCUUCAUACAGAUCAUUACUACUCUGCAAUGUUCCAGAUCCACUUUCUAUGUCACUGACUGCUUUACUUACACUUCCAAAUAUGUUAUCUGUUGUAUCAAAUGUUAACUUUUUGGCAUAUUAUAUAUAAGAGAAACUGGUUGGAAGUUAGUUGAUCAUUUUAGAGAGCAUUUGUUGGAUGCUUAACAAAAUAGUAACCGAUCACUUAAAAUCGUUGCCUACUACUUCAAUACUGCAAACCUCCUUCAUUUUACUGUUUUUAAUUUCUUACCAUCACAUUCUCCUGCACCUAAACUCUUUUGUGAACAACUGUUAAUUUUCUGUUUAGAUACACUACAUUCUUAACUCUCAGUAAUUGACCAGCUUUCUUCUAACCCAUACACCUAUAUUUUCACACUGAUAAACAUCCACACAUCUUCACACGACCCCUUUUUCAAUCCACAACAAUACAUACAUGAUACCUUGUGUAUUUUAAAAAAAAAAUUACAUCCUAUUAUGUCUAUCACCACUAUUAUAUCAGUAUCACUGCUACUACUGCCAUCUUUUACACAAGAAUACUAACUCACUUGCUCAUUCUCUCUCUCUUUAAUCUUACACAUACACACAGCUAACUCCUUAAGUAUAUGACUGAUAUAAACCUACUACUUAAUCAAUACACUCUCCUUCUUAGCAACCACUUGCCUCCACCUACUUCUGUUUCACCAUUAUUGACCAUGCUGGCUCUAUAAACACAUUUUUUUGUUCUCCAACUCAAUUUUUUUUCUCUUCUUCAAAAUGUUGAUAAUUCUUCCUUUCCUUCAGUGGUAUUUCAUUGUACUGCUGUUUGUUCUUUGUUGAUUGCUUUUGUUCAUAAAUUGCCUUCUGGAUGGGUUGUGAAUUCAUAUUCAAUGCAGGCAUCUCACAGUGUAUCUGGGCAAGACACUUCAUUUUGCAUUGUUUCAGUUUAUGUCACGAAGAAGAAUAAGCAAGUUAACAGUACUUGCUUGGGAAUACUAUUUCUCUUUUUCAUUCACUAGAUGCUACACAAACUGGAAACAUUGUCCUUAUGAAACUUGGUGGUUCGUGAAAUUGUAAACUUUUAUUCCUGUUGUGUGUGUUUGAGUGUGUGCAUACAUAGUUUUGUUAAGCCAUAAAUAUUAUAUGGAAGAACUUGUCUUCCAGCUCAAAUCUUGGGUAUUGAGAACAGAGAAAUUUUUCAUGUUAUCAUUGUAUUACUUGAUUCUGUUGCUUCUGUUUUAUCACAUGAAUAGAACAGUUUGUUAUUGUUUUGUAAGAAUAUUGUUUUACUUUUCCUUAUAUUUUGAUUUUAAGAUGUAAACCAAAACAAAGAGGAAAUCAAAUGUUUUCAGAUUUAUUUUGUUCUUUUCAAGGAAAGGAUAUUUAAAAAAAUGUCUUUUGUGCAUUUUAAUAAUAAUAAUAAUCAUUCUCCCUCAUGACACUUAUAUAUAUAUAUAUAUAUAUAUAUAUAUAUAUAUAUAUAUAUAAACGCAGUCUGUAAAGUAAUUUUAGGACUAUAGUUUAAGAUUAUGAAAAUAUUAUGAAAUCAGCAGCUAUACUAAAGCUACAUUCAUUUAAUUGUGUCUCAUCAUCUAAAGUGUAGGUGAUGUGUGAUUUUUUGUUAAAGAAAGGACGCAAUAUACAUUGUAGUCUCUCAUGAUUAUGACUCAAAGAGCUUUUGAUCAAUGGUUUAUUUGAUCACUACUGACAUGGGGCUAAAUGACAAGUAUUUUGUCUUACAAGUGAUGCUAAUGUAAAGAUUUUGAUUAAAAUUUGAGAUGGUGUAAAAAGAAAAUAUUAAAUUUAAUAUUAAUUAUUCUAUUUAAAAUACUUUUUUAGGUUUUAAUUGUAAUAUUUUAUUCUCUUGAAAAUAAUUAGUAUGUAUAGUAUUGAUGAGUAAAGUAUAAGACUGACUUUAGAUGAUAGAGGAAUAUAUAGUCAAUCUAUAUCUGUCCAAUAUAUUCAAUAGCUUUUCUUUAUUUUCAUAUCAUAAGCUGUGAGUUUCAAAAAUAAUCACCUGUUAAAUUAUUUAUUUGGAAUAACUCAAACUAUUUUUCACUUCGUGUUUACUAAAAUAUUUCAGUUUAAUAAGAAUGUUAACCAAUAAAAUUGUAUACCACCCCUAUUAUAUGCUAAUGUUAAAUUGUUAAUCCUCUGAAGUUUCUUAUAUUCCAUUUGGUUGAAACGUUUCCCCCCUAUUUUCUCUGUCAGAAAGAAUUCUUUGCCGAUCAGUUUUGCCAAAAUGGAUUUGAUUUGAAGAAACUGCCAGAUUAUUAAUUGAAAAAAAAUUUUUUGCUGCUUCUUUUUAUUUAUUAUUAUUAGUAUUUUAUUAUUAGUUAUCAUUAUUUAUUAUUGUUUUUACUAAACACAGGUCCAGAACUAAUUGAUUUCUCUUGUAAUUGGCCUCUGUUUCAAUUAUUUUUAAGUGACACAAUAUGUACAUAUGUAACUUGUGUGUGUGUGUGUGUGUAUUUAUAUAUGCAUAAACAUACAAUCAUAUGCCCUCAGUAGUGUAGGCUGAAACUCAGGACACAAUUAUAUCAUGUAAUAACCUGUAUAACAAAACUUGUUUAGGGUUAAAGGAUUAAAGACCUAGAUGUGUCUAAGCCAUAGGUUCUAUCAUAUUCAGUGAUUUUGAUCUGAAGCAUGGUUCUAAAUAUAAAAAUCUUUAAAACACACAUACAAAGACAAAAUAAAUGCAAACACUCCAAAUCAUUGCAGUAUAUUAUUAAUGAUUUUGAGCAUUCAAGCAUUUUUUUUUUAUUGUAUGUAAAAUUACAAUGGAAGAUAUUGUCCCUGUUUUAACUAAGUUAUCAUCACCCUAACAUCUCCUUGUCUUUUGAAUUUUAUUCAAUUAAUUUCAUAAAAAAAAAAUUCUUUCUUUCAAAUCCUUCAUGGAUCAGUAAUCUGAAUGCCUGUUAAAUACUACACUUAGUUUAAUUGAAUAAACAAUCACUCCAAAACAUGUAGCCGUUUGCUUAUGCCACAAAGUAUUUCUUAUUUAGUCAUGGAACCUAAAAUUAUUGGGAAGAUGAGAAUUCUUUCAAUUCUUCAAAACAAUGGAUAUAUAACAGUUUCACAUUUCUUUAAACAGUUCUUUGCAUUCUAUUAAAUUCUAGAAAAUUUUUUGUGUUGCAGGGUUUGGAUAGUAAAGGGCAGACAAAGCAGUGCUCCUGGGCAUGGUCUGCUUCUCCACCUUCAGAGAUGGUUGGACUAGUCUUGUAUCUCGUCUGACCAAAACAGCUUUUGACCAUUCUUUUUUUUGUUCUCGGGUGGUUGAGUAUCUUCUACUGAAUCCAUGAUGUUUCAGAGCCAGGAGUGAGGUCUUCAGCAGUGGGGAUUUCCAUGUCAGUUGGAUGAAGGGCAUUCUCAAGCUUUUCCAUCCAGAGCUGGAGUCUGGAUUUUGCUUGAGAUGUUGUUAGAGGCUGGAUAUGACAGAGGAAGUUUUUUGUUGACUAUCAUUAGGUCAGGAGUUCACAACCAUGGAGGAUGUGGUAUUCAUUACUGAUAGCCUUUGCCAUUUUGACUUAACUGACCACUCCUUGACUGAUAUCAGUAGAGGCCACACAAGUAGGACAAGCAGGUUGUUUGUGUCAGUGGGUUACUUAUAAACAGUGAUUAGGUGGCAGGUGUUUUUCAAGGUAGAAGCAUUCAUAUUUCAAUCCUUCUCAUGUAAUACUUGGUAUUACCUGCAAAUUCUAUCAAACACUUUGAGGCUGAACCAGGGAUGAGAAUUGUUAAUUUCUUUUGAAAAGCCAUUUGUGUUCUUGAAAUUUAAAACUCAUUUCUAAAUGUACUAGUGCAUAGGUAUCAGAGUAGUAGUAAAUUUGGAAAUGAAUUUUAAAUUAUAUGUAUGCACAUAUAUAUGUGCAUGUAUAAUACAAUGUGUGUGUGUAUAUAUGUAUGUAUAUAUGAUAUGUAUGUAUAUAUGAUAUCCAUGCAUACUAUGUGUAUAUAUAAUGUACACACACACGUGUAUAUAUAAUGCACACACACACGUGUAUAUAUAAUGUACACACACACACACAUGUAUAUAUAAGGUACACACACACGUAUAUAUACAAUGUACACACACGUGUAUAAUGUACACACACACAUGUAUAUAUAAUGUGUACAUACACACACGUGUAUAAUGUACACACACAUACAUAUAUAUAUAUGUAUAUAAUAUAUGUAUACAUAUAUAUACGAUAUAUAGUGCAUAUGUAAACAGUACAUAAUGUAAAAUUUUCUUUCAGUCUGUUACAGGCGUUUAUUUUAGCAAGCAUAAUUAACUGUGCAAACAAGGGAACUAUAAGGCAUGGAAACAUCUAGUUGGCACUUUGUUGUCUGUACCAUCCCCAUUGUUCUGCUGUUAUAACAAUAUUUAGGAUCAAUCUAAAAAACAUUACACAGCAAAUAAUAUUUUUGAAAGAAUUUGAUACAAAGUAAACCAAAGCAUUUUUAAAUGGCUGUGUCCUAAGUUUUAGCCUACAGCUAUGAGUAUUAGUAAGGUGUGCAUAUGAGUAUGUAUAUAUAUAAUAUGUAUAUAUAUAAUAUAUAUAUAUAUAUAUAUAUCUAUAUCUAUAUAAUAUAUAUAUAUAUAUAUAUAUGUGUGUGUGUGCAUUUACAUGCAUGGGAGUAGGUAUGCAAUUAUACAUUCAUAUAGGAAUGUACAAAAAAUUCACAUACAAAUGCAUACAUAAUGUGUGUGUGAGUGUAUAUAUGUAUGUAUAUAAAUUUAUAUAUUUUUGUUUUAUUUUUAAUACGUGUAGGUUAUUUUUGUUUUUUGCAUUUCAAAAUUGUUUUAUAUAUGUUUUCAUAUACAUUUUGUAUCUUCAAAAUGCUUUAUUUUAUCCAUUUUAUUGUGUUGAAGAUUUUAAUUUUUUAUUUUGAGGAGUGAAUGGACAAAAUGAGAAUUUUAUUAACUGUCAAUCAUCUAGUGAGAAUAUUGUAUAUUUUACACUAAAAUUUAAUUUUUAAAAAAUUUUGUUUCUUGAGAAAAUAUUUAUUUUUAUCUUUUGAAAUUAUUUGUUAAUUGCUGUACUAUAACAAGCUCACUUCAUAUCAACCUCGAUAUUUUAUCCUUUUAUUAUUAAUAAAAAAAAGUUUGGAAGUUUUUUUUCUAACUUGUAGGUAAUGUAUGAAGACUAAUGAGUGGAAAAAGAAUCAUUCUCCACGUCCAUGGUAUAUUUAUUAUAUUUUGAAAUCAUAAUAAAUGUACUACCUCCUUCCUAUGUGGUGUAAAUUUUCACUUGGGUUUUUUUUCCUUGAUUUCUAGGAUUAUAUUUUAAUUGUUUUUUUCAUAUCAUUGACAAUUGGUUGUGUUAUGUUCCUUUUGAAUCAUUUA
rnacentral:lncRNA from 1 species